CUGCCCGCUGCUGAUUGGAAGGCUCUGCUAUGCGCGAUCCUGAUUGGUUCCAGGGCCACUGAUGGACAGGACCAGAGACCCAUCGUCUUCAGCAUAGUCCGGAAACUGCUGCUCUGGCCUGGGUUCUCAGAGGUACUUCACAGCUGGCUCAGAUCUGACUGGGCUUGUGCGCCUUGCCGAAGUUUCCCGUCCUUAUCCCAUUCCCUCCUCCCCCUCCUCCCCCUCCUCCCCCUCCUCCCCCUCCUCCUCCUUCUAUGAGGGUGUUCUCCACCCAACCACCUUCUCACUUCCCCGCCCUUACAUUCUCCUGGAGGUGGGGGUGGGGGUCCAGCCUUGGCAGGCCCUUAAGGCCAUCCUCUGCUACAUAUGCAGCUGAAACCAUGGGUCUGUCCGUGUGUACUCUUUGGGUAGUGGUUUAGUCCCUGGGAGCUCUGGUUGGUUGGUACUGUUGUACUUACGGAGAGCCAAGCCCUUCAGCUCCUUCAAUCCUUCCCCUAACUCCUCCAAUGGGACCCCACUCAGUUCAAUGGUUGGCUGCUAGCAUUCACCUCUGAUUUGUCAGGCUCUGACAGAGCCUCUCAGGAGACAGCUGUAUCACACUCCUGUCAGCAUGCACUUCUUGGCAUCAGCAGUAUUGUCUGUGUUUGCUGGCUAUAUGUGUAUGGGCUGGAUCCCCAGGUGGGCCAGGCUCUGAAUGGCCAUUCCUCAGUCUCUGCUCCAAACUUUGUUUCCAUAUCUCCUCCUAUGAAUAUUUUUGUUCCCCCUCUUAAGAAGGACCCCCCUUUUUUUUGGACCCCCUUUUAAGAAGGACUGAAGCAUCCACACUUUGGUCGUUCUUCUUGAGCUUCACGUAGUCUAUGGAUUAGCUUUGGGCUAAUAUCAAGUUUUACAUGGUAUGAGUGAGAGUGCACACCAUGUGUUUUUUGUGAUUGGGCUACUGUAGGGCUCUUCGGAUUGCUCUUCACAGUGAUCUCUUGCCCGGCUAGGUGCUCAGGUUCUGGCGAAGGUAGAGAGUUCAGGCAGGGAGGGAGAACAGCUUUCGCUGCCCCCGCUGCCCGCCUCCCGCUCCCCCACCCAGCUGCCCGCCCUUCUCCUUUGAGCGGCUUGGGCUGCUCAGGCCCGGCUGAGCCAGCAGGAGACUGACUAGCCAGUGAGGAGCUUCUGGAGGUGAUUUCGGCGGUGUUACAGCUCUUAUGACAGAAGCUCUCAGACGAUGGAAUAAUUCCUGCACGCCUUUAAUUCUGAACACGACCCUUAAAUACAGUUUUUUGGAUGGGUCGGUGUCUGACGGCAGGCAGAAGAUAUACUGGUAGAAGCAAAGUGUGGAGAGAGGUUAGCUAACCACAAAAGAAUGGGCCUGACUCGAUAACCAGGAUAUUGGCUGGAGGAGAGAGUGAAACUAUGUCUUCUGGACAAGAUAUAGCUGCACGAGAUCAAGCCAAUUCAAACUCCAGCAUAGAUGGGAGAAGAGUAUCCUAAGGCCUACCCCAGCUGGUGGAAGUAUGCAGACGAUGGCUGCUGAGGAACAAAGAGUCACUUUUUGUUAGCGAUGUGGCUGCUGGCAGGUUGCCCAUUAACCUGCCCCCCAGUGAAUGUUCCCACACCCACACGCAUUGGUUAGUCUUGGCAUUAUUAAUAAUCACUAUAAAAGUAAAAACAAUAGCCCCCUUUUCUGGCCUCUGCAGGCUGUGCGUUCCAUGUCCAAAUACCCCCUCCUGUAUAUAUAAAUUAAAUGUAUUAAAGAUAAAAUCUUGGGCCGCAGAGAUGACACACUGACUGCAGUUCAGUUCCCAGCACCACAUCAAAAGGUUUACAGCUCUACAACUCCAAGGGAUUUGACAGCCUCUGACUCUGUGAGCACCUUCAUUCAUACACUUCCCUAUACACACAAUUCAUAAUUAUAAAUACUCAGUCUUUAAAGCUAAAAGUGUUUUUAAAAAAGACUAGAUUUGCUUACAGAGUAGUGUCAGCAUUUCAUCAGUGGUCGCGUGUCAGCACACAGAGCAAACCAUGAACAGGGGUGCUCUAAAACCAAUUAAAGCCACUACCACACCCCAUUAUUUAUAGAAAAGGACAAGCAGGAGUGACUUGUACUAAGACGUAAAGUUAAAAAUGAAUGAAAUUAAGGAGGUUGACAGGGAAUGGUAAGAAAAAGGGAAAACACUGCAAAGAUAAAAGGGCAUCUGGUGUUGUCGUAGUGUGAACAUAUCUUUUAUUUGCCUGAAUUGUCAUCUCCGAGGAUCAGUGCCUCUGUCUGCUACCCUAGACCUAGUCAUGAAAGCUUCUAGUCCCCAUACAACCUUAUCUAGGCCUAGAAUGUUUUCAGACUCAGAUUUCCUGCUGAAUAAGUUCACCCUUCCUAGCUCUUUCUGAGUCCUGGCUGGCUGAUUUAUCUCAGCUGUUCUGGUCCAACUCCUCUCCAAGCUGACUGGUUCAAUCUGUCCUCUCUGUGCUUUUCCUGCAUUGCUUUGUUUAGCCUCAAACUGAGAAAACUGAGUUAGCCAGAGUCAGGCUGACUCCAUGACAGGCUGCAAGUUGGCACUUUGGGAGACUAGGCCUAAGUUUGUUUCCCAGGAACCACUGGUCAGCCACCCCAGCGGCAGGCACUGAUCUUAGGAUUCGUGCCACCCAGAGCCCUAACAAGUAACAAAGACACCCUGAAGAUACAGCCAACAAAUCAAGAGAAAGUAAGUCACCCAUCCUACCCUAACAGGCUUUAAAUGACCCUACAAAGCAGAUACUCUGUCUCCAUUCUCCGGCAAGCAGAAGAUGCUGUUGAAUAAACACUUUGCCUUCUACAUAC